rnacentral:lncRNA from 1 species
GGAAAAUGUGAGGUUGGCGUCACUUAGGGGAGGGAAUGAGUUAUAAGAAAAGAACAACUUGAUAGGGGAAAGCAGUGCAGGAAGCCUCAGCCCUCGGCCCUCAGCCCUCGGAAAGGGCGUCUGAAGAGUGCGGGAACGUCAAGAAUGAUGGGGAUUUCCGGGCAGAAUGCAGAGCAGAAGAGCCACAUGGAGCAUCAAAAAAUGAGAGGAGAGUGACCCAAAGCAUGGCUUGCCAAGCGGUGCCAUGUCUGACCCGGGAUUCGAACCGGCCAACCCCGGGCCGCCGAAGCAGAACAUGCGAACUUAACCACUGUGCCACCGGGCUGGCCCCAUCUACGGAUUUUGACAAAUGUAUAAUGACAUGUAUCCACCUUUACAGUUUGAUACAGAAUAGUCUCACUGCCCUAAAAUUCCUUUGUGCUCCAUCUAAAGUGGCUUUAAUAUAAAUUGAAAUAUAAAAUAAAUUCUAACUACAAGAAUUACAAUUCUUAUUCUAAUUAUAUUUCCCAUCUUUUAAAGUACAUACAAUUUCUGCUAAAGGAAUUGAGAAGGGAUUAUGUGGAUAAACGUCCCCUUGUUUCCACUGCUGACAGUUUCAACCUAAGAAAGCCAAGAACAGAUUCCACACUGUCACAGCCUUUAAAACACUCAUCCUCUUACUUCAACAAAUAUGUGCUCAAGGCAUCAGAAGUCCCCUGUUUGCAAGUGAUGACUAAGACAGCCAGAGUGAGAAAAAUAAUACAGAAAGAAACAGUUUGCAUAUUUUCUAUUUACACCUGGGAAAUAAGCAUUUAUUUUUAAAUUAAUUCUACUCCUGGGAAUUCUACCUAUGGGAAGGUUGCUAGAUUUAGCAAAUAAAAAUAUAGGAUGCCCAGUUAAAUCUGAAUUUCAGGUAUACAAUGAAUACGUUUUGAGAGUAAGUUCAUUCCUGGUGAUAUUUUGAGC